GGAAAAGUACUCAUGUGGAAGCAUCAGCAUGCCUGUUGGGGAUCAAGACAAACCCUGGGCACCUCAUUUCACCUGCGAGCGAUGCAAAACAACUCUAGAAGGAUGGUACAGAGGGGAAAAGAGAGCCAUGAAGUUCGCUAUCUCAAUAAUUUGGUGGGAACCCACUGACCACUCAGGCAACUGCUACUUCUGCAUGGUGGACCCUUCCAAAUGUCGGAUUGGCAAGAAUGCACCUGCUAUCACGUAUCCGGACCUUCCUUCAUCCGGUGCAACAAUGCCAUGAGCUCCCCGUACCCACUCCUCCGGGGAGAGAGCAGCCUUCUUUAGAAGAGAGCAGCAAGUCAGAGAGCAAGGAAGACGUUGUAGAUCUAGAUGACAAUUUCAGAGGUGGAGCUGAGGAGAGAAACCCGUACUACCCCAACCAAAAAGACCUCAACGACAUGAUCAGAGAUCUUGGUCUCACCAAGUCCAAUGCCGAGCUUUUGACGUCUAGGCUCAAGCAGUGGAACUUGUUGGAUGAAAGUCUGCAAGUCGCAGAUCAGAGGAAGCAUCACCAACCUUUUUGCAGCUUCUUCACUCGUCAAGAUGGGCUCUGCUUCUGCCACAAUGUGACCAGUCUGUUCGAGGCAAUCGGAAUCGCCUGUAACCAGAAUGAGUGGCGCCUCUUCAUUGACAGCUCAUCCAGGAGCCUCAAAGCCGUGCUGCUCCAUAAUGGUAACAAAUACCCGUCUCUUCCCCUGGCUCACUCGGUGCGCCUCAAAGAGGAUUACAACAUACAACAGCAUCAAGACCUUGCUGGACGCUUGAAGUAUGAUGAGUCCGGAUACUUCUAAAAGGUGGCAUUCCUGAUGGGUCUCCAAGGCGGUUUUACCAAGUGUCCCUGCUGUCUUUGCCUUUGGGACAGCAGGGACACCAAGGCGCACUACCACAGGCGGGACUGGCCACAGCGGACCGAGUUCUCUAUGGGGAGGAACAACGUCAAGUGGGAGCCACUGGUGGACCCCCGGAAGGUGCUGAUGCCACCACUGCACAUCAAAUUGGGCCUUAUGAAACAAUUAGUCAGAGUUGUAGAUAAGGAGUCGUCAGCCUUCAAGUACCUUCAAGACUUUGUCCCUAAGCUGUCUGAGGCAAAGGUCAAAGCGGGUGUCUUCGUCGGACCACAGAUAAAGAAGAUCCUGGAGUGCAAUGAAUUCCCUAAGAAGCUCACUAGUAAGGAGAAAGCGGCUUGGGACAGCUUUGUCGCAGUGGUUCGUGGCUUCCUGGGCAAUCACAAGGUCGAAAACUAUGUGGAGCUGGUUGAGACUAGUGAAGAACUACGGCACAAUGGGCUGUAGGAUGUCCAUCAAAGUCCAUAUCCUUGAAGCUCAUCUUGAUCAAUUCAAGGAGAACAUGGGAGCGUACUCGGAAGAGCAAGGCGAGCGCUUCCAACAGGAUAUACUGGACUUUGAACGCCGCUAUCAAGGACAGAAUAACGAGAACAUGAUGGGAGACUACAUUUUGGGGCUGAUUCGUGAAAGUGAUUAACAGUAUAAUCAUAAAUCUCGAAAAACUACUCACUUCUAAAUCUUUUGAAGUAAUUUUUUGUAAUACUUUGGUAUAAAUACAUGUUAAUUUUGAUUCAUAUGUAUUUUUUUCUGAUUAUAUGUCAACGAAAAGACACAAAUUUGCCCGUUUUCUCAUUGAAAAUAGAUACAUUUCUAAAUAUUACUGUCCUGGUCAGAAAAGCAAAGUUUGUGGGGAAUAAUAGCUAUUUCUAUAUUUGUUAGGCAUUAGCAAUAAAAAAAAAUAACACUUACUACCGAGGGACAAAAAUUGUGUUACACAAUGUAAUCAGCAUUGUGAGUGAGCCUCUCUUGAACUGCCCAGGAGCCGCAUCUGGGUCACGAUUCGUGGUUACGCCACCACUGAUACACGAAUUGGCAAUGCGGAAAAGAAAUUUCACACUAAAACUUUUUUUUUUAAGACGAGAAUUCUGAAUAAUGAAAUAGAUAGAUCGGCCUAUGGGGAUGUUGUAAUGCUCAGCAGCACCAUUGACUUGCAAGUUUGAUCUCCCAGCGUGACAGUUUCAACAACGAAUACAACCUCUGUCCACUCACCAAUGUAAGUAGAUCCACUAUAGUUGGCCAAUCAUCAUGUCGUGUGUGGUGGAGUAAAGUGUGGGUACUUCUACUCAUUCAGAUGUGUCUGGUCAGCGUGGAAGAGUAGGUAAAAUUAGCCUCUACGUGGGCUGUAUUGAGCUUCGACUGGUGGAGGUCCUUCUGCCUGCAGGAGGCUUGAGCAAAGCAAGUGCAGUGCUGCACCUUUGCCUUUUCUGUUACCUUUUAUUGAUCUUCCAAACUUGCAGUUAGCCAGCAGCGUUUGUUUAAGUGCGAUGACUCGGAGCUGGGGUUGACCUUUUGGGUCUUUUGCAGAAGAAACAAUUUAUACAAAGGCAGACUUUUUGACUCGGGCGUUUUAAUUAGGAAUAAAUAUUAAUGCCCGUUCACAAGAUACAUAAUUAGAAUUCCACACCACAGGGCGAGGAGCGGACACCGUAUCCAUAAUAACACAUUGCUGAUGCUUCGUUCAUGAAUAAUUGCUUUUAAAUUGAAAUGUUUUUUUAAAUUAAAAUUUCAUGUCGCUU